AGAGUUUGAUCCUGGCUCAGGAUGAACGCUAGCGGCAGGCUUAACACAUGCAAGUCGAGGGGUAACGAUGUAGCUUGCUACAGGCGACGACCGGCGCACGGGUGCGUAACGCGUAUGCAACCUACCUAUUACAGGGGAAUAGCCCAGAGAAAUUUGGAUUAAUGCCCCAUAAUAUAUUGAUAUCGCAUGAUAUUGAUAUUAAAGUUCCGGCGGUAAUAGAUGGGCAUGCGUGACAUUAGCUAGAUGGUAAGGUAACGGCUUACCAUGGCAACGAUGUCUAGGGGUUCUAAAAGGAAGGUCCCCCACACUGGUACUGAGACACGGACCAGACUCCUACGGGAGGCAGCAGUGAGGAAUAUUGGGCAAUGGAGGCAACUCUGACCCAGCCAUGCCGCGUGAAGGAAGACGGCCCUACGGGUUGUAAACUUCUUUUCUGAAGGAAUAAUUCUUGCUACGUGUAGCGAGUUGAAUGUACUUCAAGAAUAAGCACCGGCUAACUCCGUGCCAGCAGCCGCGGUAAUACGGAGGGUGCAAGCGUUAUCCGGAUUUAUUAGGUUUAAAGGGUCCGCAGGCGGACCUAUAAGUCAGUGGUGAAAUCCUGCAGCUUAACUGUAGAACUGCCAUUGAUACUGUAGGUCUUGAGCUUAGACGAGGUAGGCGGAAUAUAUGAUGUAGCGGUGAAAUGCUUAGAUAUCAUAUAGAACACCGAUUGCGAAGGCAGCUUACUAGACUAUAACUGACGCUCAUGGACGAAAGCGUGGGGAGCGAACAGGAUUAGAUACCCUGGUAGUCCACGCCGUAAACGAUGAUUACUAGUUGUUGGCGAUACAUUGUCAGUGACUGAGCGAAAGCAUUAAGUAAUCCACCUGGGGAGUACGUUCGCAAGAAUGAAACUCAAAGGAAUUGACGGGGGCCCGCACAAGCGGAGGAACAUGUGGUUUAAUUCGAUGAUACGCGAGGAACCUUACCCAGGCUUAAAUGUAGAACGACAGGUUUGGAAACAGACUUUUCUUCGGACGUUUUACAAGGUGCUGCAUGGUUGUCGCCAGCUCGUGCCGUGAGGUGUCGGGUUAAGUCCCAUAACGAGCGCAACCCCUAUCGUUAGUUGCCAACAGGUCGAGCUGGGGACUCUAACGAGACUGCCAUCGUAAGAUGCGAGGAAGGUGGGGAUGACGUCAAAUCAGCACGGCCCUUAUGUCUGGGGCUACACACGUGUUACAAUGGUAACUACAAAGGGCAGCCACCUGGCGACAGGGAGCUAAUCCUUAAAAGUUAUCUCAGUUCGGAUCGUAGUCUGCAACUCGACUACGUGAAGUUGGAUUCGCUAGUAAUCGGAUAUCAGCCAUGAUCCGGUGAAUACGUUCCCGGGCCUUGUACACACCGCCCGUCAGACCAUGGAAGCUGGGGGUACCUAAAGUCCGUAACCGUAAGGAGCGGCCUAGGGUAAAUCUGGUAACUAGGGUUAAGUCGUAACAAGGUAGCCG
rnacentral:rRNA from 1 species